UACGGGGGGAGCAAGCGUUGUUCGGAUUUACUGGGCGUAAAGGGCGCGUAGGCGGCCACCGCAGGUCGACUGUGAAAUCUCCGGGCUUAACUCGGAAAGGUCAGCCGAUACUGCGGGGCUAGAGUGCAGAAGGGGCAACUGGAAUUCUCGGUGUAGCGGUGAAAUGCGUAGAUAUCGAGAGGAACACCUGCGGCGAAGGCGGGUUGCUGGGCUGACACUGACGCUGAUUGUGCGAAAGCUAGGGGAGCGAACGGG
rnacentral:rRNA from 1 species